UACGGGGGGGGGCAAGCGUUGUUCGGAAUUACUGGGCGUAAAGGGUUUGUAGGUGGCCCGCUAAGUCACACGUGAAAUCCCUCAGCUUAACUGGGGAACUGCGUGUGAGACUGGCAGGCUCGAGGGCAGGAGAGGAACGCGGAAUUCCAGGUGUAGCGGUGAAAUGCGUAGAUAUCUGGAGGAACACCGGUGGCGAAGGCGGCGUUCUGGACUGUCUCUGACACUGAAGAACGAAAGCCAGGGGAGCAAACGGG
rnacentral:rRNA from 1 species